rnacentral:tRNA from 1 species
GUUGGAGUGGCAGAGCCCGGACAAUUGCAAAAGGUCUAAGCCCUUUAAACAAAGGUUCAAAUCCUUUCUUCAACC